rnacentral:rRNA from 1 species
AUAACUUUCAACAACGGAUCUCUUGGCUCUCGCAUCGAUGAAGAACGCAGCGAAAUGCGAUAAGUAAUGUGAAUUGCAGAAUUCAGUGGAUCAUCGAAUCUUUGAACGCAUCUUGCGCUCCUUGGUAUUCCACGGAGCAUGCCUGUUUGAGUGUCAUUAAA